GCUGGCACCGCCCUCUCGUGGGACCCCAUUCAUGGCUUUCCCCAGCUAUAGGACAAUAUUGUCCCGCUGUUGUUAGCGUGGGCUGUCUGCUAUCACAGUGCAGGUUGGCAUCCAGUUUGUGAACCAAAAAAAUCAAUCUAGUGAAGAUGAUUGCGUUUAAUGAGAGUUAUAACUGCUAAUCGCUGCAGGUUGAUCUGGUUGUCCAACCACUUUCUGGGGGAUGAGGGGGUUACGUCCAUGGGUAUGACUGCGCUGCUGUUUUGCCUCUGAGAAUACCGUUGUGGGUCGCUUUGACUCCAACUCGGUACAACGGGGCUUCACGCCGUGUAUUUUAGUUGGCAGCUCUGUGUUUGUUUUACGUCAACUCUUCCCUCUACUGAGGCGUUUAACUGUGAGUCACUUAGUCGAUGUCUUAGUUUUGUUGGUUUUAUUUAUUUUUUGCUACUUGUCUCAGCACUCCUCUCUUUGUAUUUUGUUUGUUUUCUUUGAUGUAUGUGAUUUAAUAUCACCAUUAGUUUGUUCUGGGUCCUGCUAGAACUGAAGUAUGCACUAUUAAAUCUGCAUGUAUAAAAUCUGUA